CUUGUUUCCCAGGAAGAGACUUCACACAGUUCUCAUGUGUCAGACUACGUACUUCUUGUCCAAUGUCUAAACCUAAACCUCAUGAAGUGACCUUGAAGAUGGGUCCCGGUCGGGGUCGUCACUGAAUGUUGACAUGCCUUCAUCUUCCUAGUGAAUUAGCCUUUCCACUCUCACUUGUCUCUUUACUUGGUCCCUUGAGGAUGGUGACUGAGCCUGGCUUGUUAGGGCUGCCAGGGCCCGGGCUCUGACCCCAACUCAGGUAAUAGGGGGAGUGAGAGAAAUGACCAUCCCUGGUUGGACAUACUUCCACAGGCCUGUAAUCCUGGCAUUCUAGAGGCUGAGGCUGGAGGAUUGUUAAGAGUUUGAGGCAAGCCUGAGCUGUAUGACAAGACCAGUCUGAACUGAAAUGACCUCUCAUGGCUGACCCCGACAAAUGAUGCUGAAACUCUGUGGACCGAUGCUGCAGCCUGUCUUGAAUCACUCAGGACCCACUGGGCUGCAGGGCAAUGGACUCCAGAUGGCAGAACCCAUAUGCAAGCAAUGCACAGCCAUCGAGUUAAGGAGCUGAUCUCAGGCCUGCCACCGGCCGUGGGGUCGUUUGUUUCGGCCUGUGCUUUCUGUCAGGCCCCUUCGGGACACAUACAGAGGCCAGCAAGCAUGGAAUCUGCUGUGGGAGAGCAGCGGUGGUCAGGGGUAGGAGGACAGAUGGAAAACAGGCUUCCCUGUUAUACUAAUAAAUUGCAGACAGGACAACAGGAAACAUUCGACUCAUUGGAAGCAUUCUUUUCUCUAAAGUCAAAGG
rnacentral:lncRNA from 1 species